GGUCAGCAGAAGCCUGCAGCGGGGGGUGGGGGUGGGGGUCCUGGCUGAGGCUCGCUGGGCAGACCGAGAACCUCUCUGGAAGCCCCUCGGUCCUGGAGGCCAGCGCGGUGGCACAGGAGCAGAGGGCACAGGAGCAGAGCGCACUUGGCCCGUGCUCGGCAGGAAGUGGCUGGAGGCUAGGAGGGGUGGGGGCUGCAAGGAGAGCUGCAGCGCGGGCCUGGCAUAGGGAGGCCCUGACCUCCAAGGGAGCCGGCGCUCUGGCGCCAUCCUUGCCCUCUUCAGACCUCAGUUGACCUUGUCUGUGAAACGGAACCCAUGGCUGCUCUGCUGAUGCCAAGGAGACGUUCGAGAUUGCAGGAGGCUGUAAGGCAGUUUCUGAAUGUGAGGAGAGCCCUGAUGUGGCUUCUUAAAGCAGGAGCAUGAGGCGUCCCCACCAUGCAGUGGACAGUCUCUUGGGAGGUACUGCUAAGUGGCCAAAGCAAAGCCUGAAGUAACAACUUCCAGAGAUUCAGUAUCUGCCAGAAUCAGACCACAGGCCACUGUGUCCUCAGCUGCUGCCCGGGCCUGAGCACUAACUUCUCCCACCUGAUCAUUGCUGUGGCCUCCUCACCAGCCUCCCUCUUCUGCCUUCACCCUUCGACCAGCUGCAGGAUGAUAAUUUUAAAAUGUCCCUGCUCAGGUAUCACCGCAUCAGAGAGGCUUUCUGAGGCCAGCCUGACAAGUGGCCACCCAACCGCACACCCAGGCUCCUCUGCUGUUGGCUGUAUGGCAUUGCUGACACAUCAGCUAUAGGUUCCUGUUUGCUUGCUCUAAAGAGCCACACUGCUUUACAAGCAAGAGCCCAAGUAUGGUGGCCCACAGGCCUUCCUCAGCCCAGGUGCCACCCAAGGGCUAUGGCCCAGACACACUAAGGACUCCAGCCGACCUGUACACAGAGCACUGGUCUGGGAGGCACAUGGAGCCCACGGAGGCUGGCAGCCUGGAGAGCCAGGCCAUGUCAGCCUCUCCCCGAGCUGCAGCCUGAGUAGGCUCCAGUCCAGACAUUGCUCAGCCCUCACAUGACUCUGUUGGAGAAUCAAGGCCCCAGGAGAGGAAGUCCCACGAACCGGUCCUUUUCUGGUGCCCACUCCCAGCCGCAUCCGGGUGAUGAUGAGAUGGGCCCCAGGCUUGGAGUGGUAACAUCCCAUGCUGUUGGGGGCCAGGCCAUCACAACUGGCUGAACAUCUCCUGCAGGGAUUUUGGAACUUGGCAUGCAAAGAUGGCGUGGUGGACAGUGAGAUCAAAGGAGGCAUGGAGUGAGUAACCAGCCGCAGGAGACUACAUGCAUUUCCCAUGGACGAGUGCCUUGUGAGAGAAAGGACUCCCGGCUCUUGAGGAAAUGCUAAGCUAUUCUGAAUGUGAACUUACAAUUUUAGAGGCAAUUAACGGGAUUUGGUUGCAUGACUCAUGUUAUAAGCCCACUGGGGCUAAAACCUCAGAGCGCUUGGAGUGCCACACCCCAAGUCUGUUCUUGGCCCUGAAAGGAACAAGAGCUGAUGGACAGGGCUGCUCCUGGGGAAGCUCAGCAGCCUGAGAAUACUGGAGGUGGGUCAGAGGAUCCAAGCACAUUCCAGAACUUUCUGGCUGAGUGACCUACUUCUUGGCAAUCUUGGAGCAUCCUACAGUCUAGGGAAAGACAUUUUUAAUGAAAACGUUAUGAUAAUUGGAGCUGAGUGACACUAAUCUGGCAUGAGAAUUCCUGCCAUGAGUCCUGAAGCUCCGGCUGCCAAAUACCAGUGUUUUCAUUUGCUUGGUCAAUAUUAAAUGGUGACUUACUCCAGUCAAUAAGGAAGAUUAAAUAAUUUCAUGGGAUUGCUUUUUAUGACGUUAAAAUCCAUAUUUCGGAAUGGCUAAUAGGCUAACUAUACGCCUCACUAUUGUUAUUCAAUAAAAUAUUAACCUCAACUAUUCUGGAACAAAGGAGUUUUCAGUUACAGUUGAUCCUGGUAGGCCAAGGGACCUAUGCAAAACUAUUCCCAGCCACAGCCUUAGAGAAAGGAGUGCUUCAACCCUGAUUUCCCCCGGCUUUUCAGCCUUUCAAGAUGAGGGCCCUGUUUUAACUUUCAAACGUUUCUGGUCUCCUGGGUAAGAGCAGCUUAUUUUGUUCUCCCAUGUAACGUUUGAGAAUGGUGAGGUGGAACUGUCUCCAGACUCUGGCAGAGGUCCCCCAAGGCCCUCAAGCCAGGCCUGCCUCCCCAAGAAUGUGAUCAACUGUCCCAGUUUGCUGGGGUCUGAGGGGUUUGCCAGGGCAUGGGACUUUCAGAACUAAAACCAGAAAAGUCUGGGGCAAACUAGGACAAAUCACUUAGCCUAUCCCCUCGUCAUGCAGUCCCUACCAUAGCUGCCUCCUUCACUGAGGUCCACAAGGACCAGGAGGGGCAGGGUGGUCCCGCCAACAAGUCAGAGAAUGAUUUCUUCCACAUGGUGGUCCACCUGCUCCAGACUCUGUGCCAAGGGCCUUUCAUGCAUUAUCUCAUCUCACACUUCCCACAGAUGCUUUCCCCAUAGUUCCACAGAGGUUAAGUGACUUGUCCAGGGUUACCCAAGGCAAUAGAUAGGGAGGCAGGAGCGGGGACACAGGUCUACCUAAUGUUAAAAGCCCACGCUUCACCUGGGAACAUGAAUAUAAACCAAACAAUCAUUCUAUAGUCUCUUAUAUGACUUGUCUUUACAAAUUUUGCAUGAGAAACCCUAAAAUGCUUAACACUUUGUACUCUCAAGAUUUAGCUCUAAAAGGAUUUUAUUAGAAGUCUAUAUAUAUUUAUUAGAAGUCCAAAUAUAUAUUUUCUGAUAUAUAGUAAAGAUUAUAUAAAACUGUCACAUCCCUGUUUUAAAAUGUAUAUAAUAAUGAUACUGCAAAAUAGCACAAACCCUGUGGAGGGGAAUUUGGUAAUAUCUAGCAAAAUUACCUAAGUGUUUACUCCUUUACUCAGCAGUGCCACUUCUAGGAAUCUAUCUCAAAGAUAUGCUAGCAAAAAAAUACAAGUGACACAUCAAAAGACUAUUCCCUGAAACAUGAUUUAUAAUAGCAAAAGACUGGAAAUCCACAUUUCCAACAAUCAGGGACUGGUUUGACAAACUACAAUGUCAAUACAAUGGUGUUCUAUGCAGCUCUAGAAAGGAAGAAGGAUAAUUUCUGCAUAUAUUCUUGGUUGAAUCUACAGGGCAUAUAUUGUUAUAUGAAAAAGGCAAGGUUUAAAAUCAUGUGUAUAGUAUACUACCCUUAUUAUAUAAAGACUGGGGAAUAAAAAUAUCUGUAUUUAUAUUUGCCUAUAGUUCAAGACAAGGGCAACAACAAUUGAAGAGGAAAUGAAAAUGGUUUCCUGUAUACGGGGGAGUAUGAAGGAAUUAGGCAAAGAGAAUGGAAACUAAACUUAUCUGAAUUUAUCUUACUUAAUAGCUUUGACUUUGGAAUCAUGUAAUUGCUUUACAAAAUAAAGAAAAUUAAAUUUAAAAAUAUGUGUAAAAAUCAAACAUAAAAUAGAAUAAAUGAAC